UACGAUACGGCUACAAGCAUUCACGUCGUUGGCUUCCACCACAGUGAAACAGUGUAGCACUAGAGAGGUUCUGUUGCGUGGUGUCAGUGACAGGGAGGGUCUUUGUGACUGUUUUCUCACGUUAAACUGACAUGUAAAAGAAAUACUGUUGAACUGUUCAGAUGAGGAGGUGAUUUUAUUAUAUUUCAUCGGCUCUGAUAAAAAUACCGUGCAAGGGAGAUGACAUACACUAAGCAGGAAAGAUCUGAUGUUCGGGGUGAGGGUAAAUUGUUUCAGGUCCUGAACUGAUUGGAGAAAACAUAUCCUGCACACACACGCGCACACGCAGCACGCACACAGACACACACAGACUCACCUAUUCGAAUAUUGUUAAACACGGCGUGGAAGUCUUCUUCGCCAUUCACAGACUCAUGCCUGACCCUUAAAAUCACUGAGCCAGCUUUCCCUUGUCACUAUCACUGACUUGAAUAUUGAAGACCUUCCGAGAAACCGAUGACAUGUUUCGACAAGACCCUCUUGAAGCACUGCCAUCUUUCCCUUGUCACUAUCACUGACUCUAAUAUCAAUUGCAGACUGUCCGAACAGCUGUUGACAUGCUUCGACAAGACCAUCUUGAAGCACUGCCCCAAGAAGGUGGAGAAAAUCAUAGAUGACUGCCUGCACAAGUUUCUCCCUCCAAUCUGCCAUCCCAAAACUAGCUACAAGACCAUCAACGACGACAACAGCUCCUCCAUUUCCCUCCCUGCGACUGUAACGGUGGUCGUUAGCGUGCUCAUGUGCCUUCGAUCAAUCUUGUAAAUGUGACUAGAAACGCCAUGUUUUGUAUGUUUGUUGGAACAGUGUUAACAGGCAUUUUAUAUCCCACCAACUUGAUUAAUUUGUAAGAUACAUUCUGUUAAAAAGUUUGACAUCUUUGUGUAAUAUAUCAAUAUCUUAUCAUACUUUUGAAAUUAAUGACGUCGUCUUAAAAGACCUCAGCUCAGUUUUACAUAAAUCUUGUUACGAGACUGAAAAUACUCUCACUCAUGGUCUCAACUUGCUUUGGAUAUUAUAUAUAUAUAUACAUGUAAAAUAUAUACAAACUUUUGUACAUUCCUUGUCAUGACAUACUGAUGAUACGGAUGUUUCUAAUUAUUUCAAGCUAAUGUAAUGUUUCAAGGCUCCGAGAUACCAUAGUGUAACCUUGAAUCGGACGUGUUCGCGUGAGUAACGGUUGUUGGGAAACCUUAUAAGAAGACUCGGUUAAACGCUUCAUAAAGUCAUCACUCUCCCCAUCGCUGUAGUAUAACGAGGUCAGCGAUACAAAGGAGAAUCACACAGUGCAUCAUCAGCUGUUUCUGAAGUCCUCCAACACUGGAUAGCUAGUGUGAAAUGCUGUGGAAAUUGUUCUGAACCUAAACAGUCUGAGGUUAAUAGUGUGGUGAUUGGGAUAGGUUCAAUAUGACUUCAGUACCUACAAUGCCAAUAAUUGUUAUACAUUUUCAGGAACACCAAAGUAUCUUGUUUAGAAGUCACCAUUAGGGGACAUCGAUACAAGCCUCAAUAUGAGUUGGCAUAUAGCAUGCUUCAUGGUGUUAUCGAACGUAGACGGGUGGCGAUUUGUGACACGAAUUAUGUCUAGGGAGAUAUACAAGCGGGUUAUUUUCAACACGAAGAUUUGAGAUACUUACAAGUGUACUGUGUUUAUGGUGAUCUGAACAGUCACUUUAGUCUGGUGGUGUAAGGUCCGGGGCGUGUUCUUGUCAGAGGUCAUGCAUCAGAUGAAGAACACGUUGUGGCGGAGAGUAGGCGGAUGGGUGGCGUGUUCUUGUCAGAGCGCACAGGUCACAAAUCAGAUGAAGAACACGUUGUGGCGGAGAGUAGGCGGAUGGGUGGCGUGUUCUUGUCAGAGCACACAGGUCACAAAUCAGAUGAAGAACACGUUGUGGCGGAGAGUAGGCGGAUGGGUGGCGUGUUCUUGUCAGAGCACACAGGUCACAAAUCAGAUGAAGAACACGUUGUGGCGGAGAGUAGGCGGAUGGGUGGCGUGUUCUUGUCAGAGGACACAGGUCACAAAUCAGACGAAGAACACGUUGUGGCGGAGAGUGGCUGGAUGGGUGGCCGUUUUCUGCAGGUCUUCUGUCCAACAGUACAUUGAAGCACAUGUAACCAUCGUGGUGCCACCUUUGGUGGAAUUGUAUACUUCCCAGUGGGCUGGGAAAGUAAUGGAACGUACAUUGAUCCAAGAACAUUGGUAAACUGAGGUUACGCAUCAUCCAUGGACGAUUUCCUGUCACUUGAUCAUAAUGCUGUAUAUGCUUCUGGUAGGGUUUGAUGUGUCGGAAUAUUUCAAUAUUAUCGAUAUGCAAUGCCUUAUUGUUGUUUACACAGCUGUGUUCUUUAGAACAAGACUCCAGCUACACAGAUGCUUCAGCUACACAGAAAACGGAGCUGUCAGAUUUAAAACAAAUGAAACAACAAAUAUAACGUUAGUAUGAAGUAAAUAUUUCACAUCAGAAAUUCUCCUUGCCAGACGUACACCUGAAUCACCCACUAUGUUUGUCAAUAUUGAAUGGCAAAGUUUUAAUGUUGUAUUGAAAUAUCUAACGAAACACAGUUGUUUACAAUCUGUAAAUACUCAAACUACAGACACGGAAGUUGUUUCUACAAAUGACAGUUCUGUCUUUCAAUGCUUCCCCUGCUUUUGUGCAUCGUUGCCCAGUACUUGCGACAUUCAGUAAUUACUGAGGUAUGAAGGUAUAUUACCGAGGUUUAUCUAACCAUAUGUAGAUAUUCUCAAAGGGUACACGGAGGAAUGGGAUACAUAAAACAAGGAAGACACGAGGCUUAGCUCGCCUCAACGUAUUGUAAACUGGCGGACGGAAGAAAGUACGCCUUGGAAAUUGAAUUUGACCAAAAACUAUCUUGGCUGGCAUAGAUAGAUAUGCUGCAUGUAUUACCGCCUGUGGUACCUGCAUCAAAUACAGCGCCAUGGAAAGGACAGUGCAUGUUUGUGUCAUAUCUUACAGCCAUCAAACGUGGGUGUAUACUUUCUUUCGUCCUUCAGUAUAUGGUCGUAUACAGAGAUAUAAAGAUAUACGUUUCUUGUGGACUGAUACACUGCUGACAAUAGUGUUAGAUCAGCUGGCUGAAUUUCAUAUCGGUGUCAUGUUACUCUUAAAAGUUAUAUUAAAACGUUAAUAUUUUAUCCUAAUCUGUAAACGGUUCUACGCUUAUUGGAGAUACGGAGUGUUCUAUGCAAGAUAGAUCGUGAAUGUGUUCGUGUUCAGUUCUUUAUCGAGGUGUAAUAUUGGUAUUUCCUUGAGUAGAGAUUACUAAAACAUACUUUAAACAAAAUCGUUCAGCAUGAAUACUAAAAUACUCAUACCUGUCUUAGAGUGUUUUCAAAUUGUUGAGUAAAAUGUUAUUUUAUCAUAUACCAAUUUAGAUAUUGUUCGUAGAUGUCUUGGUGUAUCUUAUAUCGUAUGUACUUUAAGUGUGUUUAAUACCAAUAAUGUGAUAUACUAAAUAUGCCUGUAAGUAGUGUUUUCUGAAUAUACGUGUACUAAUUGGAUGAAAUAUCGUACAAUUCCUUUGUAAUAAAGUCGUCGUUGUGUUCA